UACGUAGGCAGCGAGCGUUGUUCGGAGUUACUGGGCGUAAAGAGUGCGUAGGCGGUUUUCUAAGUUUGGUGUGAAAUCUCCCGGCUUAACUGGGAGGGUGCGCCGAAGACUGGAAGGCUUGAGUAUGGGAGAGGUAAGCGGAAUUCCUGGUGUAGCGGUGAAAUGCGCAGAUAUCGGGAGGAACACCAGUAGCGAAGGCGGCACUCUGGGCCGGUACUGACGCUGAGGAGCGAAAGCGUGGGGAGCGAACAGG
rnacentral:rRNA from 1 species